UUAGAGCAACUUUUAGCUUUAUGAGAAUAUUAGACGAUUAGACAUUGAGAAACUCUGUUUUGAAUUCUCUUUAGACAUAGCUUGGCUCCAAUACUUUUUUCUUCGUUAGCGUUUCGUAAGCCUGUGUAACUAUUUUCAUUUCUUACAGAAUGUUUAUUAUUAAAAAUCAGCAUGCCUCGAAGAUCGAAAAUGAAAUGCUAUUUCGGAUGCCUUGAUAACGGUGAGUUUACACUAUUUUCCCGGUAUAUUAUUUGCUAACAGAAUUAUUAUUCAUAAUAUAAUUAAAUGAAUUAGCACCAACUAAUGGUCCUUCCUAUUUCUGCUGCCUAGCUAUCAUAUAUGUUAAGUUUUGAUCAAAACAGUCGGUAUUAAGUCUCGUACUAUCACACACACACCUCAGAUAAUAAAAUUGUCUCGAGUGGGUGGAAGUAUUUAUGUUUUGCAACUCAGCGUAUUAUAUGCUUAUUGUCAAGUGGGCCCGAACUAGUUUUUUGGAAUGAUCAAUCAGUCAUGCUUUCCUGUUUAAAUAAAAUACAGCACAAUUGAUCUCACAUCCAAAGUUAGAUGAUGGCAUUCACGUUUUGUUUCCUGGUGUUUGAUAACUAAGUUACACCAAGUGGCCUGUGACCACGUUCAUCCUUCUACCCAAUAUAAAAUAAUGUUUUUAUUUUUGUAGACAAAGGUUUGAUAAUGACAAAAUUUUAUGGAAAAAUUAAAGGAGCACUAAAAUGUCUGAAACAUGAAAAGAUUGAUGCACUAUAUUUGAACCAGAACGUGUUAUGUAAUAUAUUAAUUUAAGAGAAACUGAUUCAGCAAGGAACGUGAACUCUCAAGGGAUCUUAUUUUUUUUAAAUAUGUUUAUAAUUGAUAAAUUAAUAAUUGAAAUAGUUCAUAAGAACUAAAUUGAUGCCAAUUUUGUUUUAAAAUAGAUUGUUUAGUUCUUAUAGUUAUAGUAUUACGUUUGAAUAGUUGUAAUUAGUAAGUUAGUAAUAUAUGAAAAUACUGAUAUAAAUUUUUGUAAAUAACCUUUUGUAAAUUCUACGAGAAGAUGAUUUUAAUUAAUGAUCAAAAGUCAACGGUCUUUAAAAGCAUUAUUUGCAAUUAUUUAGAUUAACUGUGGAAUAUAUUUGCUAAGUUGUGUUUUCUGUAUGAGCAGAUAUAAAUGAAAAUGCCCAAACAUGAUUAUGUUUCUUACAUUUUCAUUAUGUGAAAUCAAUAUGCUUGUGACUGAGUAUAUUAAUAAUUUAUUAAAACUUAAGUGAUAGACAGCAACCCCUAUGGCACUGCUGAAGUUUAUAAGCACUGGUGACCACUUAUCAUGGGCCGGGUUGCGUGCUCGUCUGCUGUUGAGUGCAAUAAAAAUUUUCGAAACCCUUUCUAUUAUUUAGAUGUAAUAUUAGUGUACAUUUAAUUUGGAUUAAAAGAUAAAUUUACAUUUUAUGUUUGCAUGUGUAUGUUUAUAAUUCAUUUGCAUGUAACGAACACCAGUUUCUUUUGUAACAAAAUGUAAACUAAUGGUUUGUAAUGAAUGUAAUUAACUUUAAGAUGAUUUUCUUUCAAUCUGCUGUUUGUUUCAUCUAGUAUUACCAAAGCUAAAGCAUCAGAAACGUCAGAAUAGAAAUAAUUUAGAUAGGGAAUAAAAGUAUAACUAAUGUAAUCAUGUCUAAGAUUACUAUAAGCGUCAUUAAGUACAAACUAUCAAUAUUUAAGAGUACUUUAAAUCAUCAUUACAUUUUUUAAACAUUUUUUGUUUUUCAAAUCAUGUAAUAAAACGUUUGUGCAGAACAAAAUGUCACAUGUUAUGAACAUGAUUGUGGGUUAAUCGUUUCUUAAAUUUCUAAAUGUUUAUAAGAAUGCUAAGAAUAAUUUAGUAUUCACUUUAGUGUGUGUAUUAUCUCUACAAUGCUAGUAUAAAUGACAAUUAUUGUAUGACGAAGCAUAGGUAGUGUUUAUAGAUGUAAUAUUUUCAUACAAGGUCAUGAUCUGUCACGAUCAACUUUAAGCAAGAACUGCUAUAGUUAAGAAACAAAUUUAUUAAAUUUAAUUCAAAUUGUCUACUAUGUUUGUAAUGGAAAGCUGACAUGUUUAUAUUUCGCACAAAUGACUUAAGUGACAUUGAAUGAUUUGAUUAUCUAGACUUAAUUAACUUUUAGAUAACUUUCGAUUUAAUGUUAUUAAGUACUCUAGUAGGAUUAAUCUAGAGGAGUUAUUGUUAUUCGAAAUUUUAUACAAUUGUACGUUCAUACUAUCUUUUAACAGUAAAUUGUUUGUAAUAUAGGGAAAUUAAAUAGCUUACAGAGAA